rnacentral:lncRNA from 1 species
AAUGUCCUGAGUGUUUUACAAAGUAUCUGCAAUUGGACUGUUUGGAACUCAAAUUUCUCCAAGCGGGAGAUGCACUCAACCACAGAUCCUACUGACAUGAAGGUUUAUGCACCUUGAGGACUGCUGAACACUGACACAGCUAGCUGGUGCAUCUAAGAGACUGGCUAGGGCAGCAGCUUUGAAUACUUCUCCAACUACCACAGAGACUGCAAGGCAUCCAUUCAGGCACAACUCAUUUUAUCAGCAAGCCUUCUGCAAGCCGGUCCCAAAAAGAGAAAUGAGCUGUGGCCUGGAAAGGAGAAGCUCACUUCUGAAGCAAGGGCAGGGUCCACCACAGACUUCUCUUCCUCGUACACUCAGAGAGCGGCAUGAGGAUGAAGCAUCCCCUGGAAGCAGGGGUCUCACCUCCCAGCCUUCCCCAGAAUGCUGCAGUAGUAGUAGAGGGGAAGAGAGACCAGGCCUCCAGACAUACAACCAGAGAAGGUUGAGGGGGAAAAGAAGAAGUGGGAUGAGCUGGUGUCUUCAUCACUCCUUGCAGUGCAGCCAAGACUUGUCUGAAGACAAAUGUUUUUCAAAUAACAGAGUGGCAAUAAAUAACCACUUAAUUUUUCUUUUUGUCAUUAGUUUUUUUUUCUCCUUAACUUCAGAAGAACAUUUUAGAAAACUCGUAUCUUCUGCAGUGAUGAAGCAUUUAGCUAAUUGUUAAUUGUUCCUUCCUGUUAAUUUUUGAUUUAACACUGUUUAAACUUAAAAUGAUAUGUUCACAUGAGUUCGUUUUUAUUAAAUAUUAUCCAUCUAACUUUUUCAUUGAGUGACAUCUGGAGUGAUGUUUAAUAAAUUUUAAUUACAA